UGUCGAAACCGCCUUUUCACUGGAUUUGGACGUCGCGGGUUGCUUGUCCAAAUCCUUGGACCAUGAUCGGUAGUAGGCGACGGCCGUCAUGAGCGCGAUUCCAGACACACUCACGAUGAUCUGCGCGAGAAGUGAGUCGGAGACCAGCUCAAGAACGAAAUGACCGACGAAGGAGAGAAACACUCCGACGCAAAACACUUCCAACGAACGCUGACCACAGAUGAUCAACGGGCGAAGCCAGCGGGACGUCAACCCGGGACAAUCAAAGGGGAAAAACCGAACGACCAGCACGGCCAAGGCGACGAAAUGCAGAAUCCGAUAUGGCGCGAGAUUUGUCUUGUCGUUAGGAUUGAAUGCGCCAAACAGUCCCUCAGGGAUUAUUUUUCCAAGCGGCGCGACAUAGCCUGCAACUGUCAUAAACAGCGCAAACCCCAGAUAAACGAAACAGAUCGAUAUGAUCGCGGGCGACCGAAUGAGCCUCUGUAGUCGCGACGCUCCUCCGAGCGAGCUCCAGGCUCCAAGCACAAAGAGGAGUUGCCAAGUGAACGGGUUAAAAUACCAAACACCCGACGGA
rnacentral:misc_RNA from 1 species